rnacentral:lncRNA from 1 species
AACUCACACAUCUUAUUUCUUCCUUCCCCACCUAUCUAGCUGUCCUGAUGAUGUCCCCAGAGUCAGCACAGAUUGUCAUAGGUCCUGGGGUCCUCAGGUGGUUGUGAUCUGAAGGCAGCAACACACACACACACACACACACACACACACACACACACACACCUCUGCUAGAAGUCCUCCACUCCGAGGUCCCACCUCUCUAGCCAAGAACGUGAGAGGAAAGAGCUUCUUCGCUCACAAGGCUGUCCCUGGCUGGGUGAGUCCCCCUCAGGAAGAUCUAGGAGGAUGAACAGAUCCCACUCUCUGAAGUCCCAGAUGGCACCUCACACUUGCAGAGCUUCCAGUCCCACAGGCCUUCUGAUGACAGACGGACAGGCGUGGGAAAGGC